rnacentral:rRNA from 1 species
GAUGAACGCCGGCGGCGUGCCUAAUACAUGCAAGUCGAGCGAACUGAUUAGAAGCUUGCUUCUAUGACGUUAGCGGCGGACGGGUGAGUAACACGUGGGCAACCUGCCUGUAAGACUGGGAUAACUUCGGGAAACCGAAGCUAAUACCGGAUAGGAUCUUCUCCUUCAUGGGAGAUGAUUGAAAGAUGGUUUCGGCUAUCACUUACAGAUGGGCCCGCGGUGCAUUAGCUAGUUGGUGAGGUAACGGCUCACCAAGGCAACGAUGCAUAGCCGACCUGAGAGGGUGAUCGGCCACACUGGGACUGAGACACGGCCCAGACUCCUACGGGAGGCAGCAGUAGGGAAUCUUCCGCAAUGGACGAAAGUCUGACGGAGCAACGCCGCGUGAGUGAUGAAGGCUUUCGGGUCGUAAAACUCUGUUGUUAGGGAAGAACAAGUACAAGAGUAACUGCUUGUACCUUGACGGUACCUAACCAGAAAGCCGCGGCUAACUUCGUGCCAGCAGCCGCAGUAACAC